UAAAACCGUCAGAGUCUGUCAAAAUACGCAUCAGAAAUACUGCACUCUGGCAUAAGAGGAUUUUGUUGUGAAAUGUGACUUGGACAUGUUCUUGACAGGUUUUGUGAGAUUGGCUCAUCUUCAUCACUCUUGUUGCUGUCGCUGUGGUUUUUAUGAAUAUGUGGACAUUCAUGUAUUAAACGCUCACCAGGACAGGGUUUGACACUAACGGUCUUCUGUCCGUGACUGACGUGGUUCUUCACACUGCAGCUGAUGUUUCCAUCAGUUCCCUCAUUCAGAUCAAAGCUGGAGUUUCCAUCCAUCAGUGGACCUCCAUUCAGACUCCAGCUGUAGAGGAUCUGCUCGCCCUCAGAGGAGCAGGACGCCCUCUUCACUCCACUGGAGGAGCAGUUGAUGGACACUUCCACUGAGCCAACAGGAGCUGGAGGGAGGGACACGUGACCGUCACACAACUCCUUCUCGACUCAGUAUGAGUCAAUGUCAAGACAUUUCUAAACAAAAUGUACUGCUGAGGUGAAAGCUGGACUGAAUUAAACAUGCAGCGUACAGUAGGUUAGUCAUGUGACAACAGUGUAUCAAAUGACUGUUUAAAAUGUUUUCAUGUAAUUUUGUUUAAAAAAAGCAGGCAGUGUACAAUAAUGAGCUGCAUGAAUAAAAAUCCUUCAUAGGGAUUCAACUGAUUCAUUUGAGAGAGUGAGAUCUUUGGAGAACAUGAGACUGUAAUGAGUCUGAGGAGAGGGUUUCUGUACCUUCAACAUUCACUUGAAGAUCUGUAGAUGUUACUGAGCCGUCUGAGGGAGUGAAAGUUACUGUGUAACUCCCUGAAUCUGCUCUGAUCACACGGUUUAUUAUCAGAGUCCCAUUAAUGACUGCAACUUCAGGUCUGUUACUAUAAAGAUCACAUUCUUUCUCCCUCAUCCUGCCAUUCUUUACUCUACAAACUGGAUCAGUUAUUUUGUUUUUGUUUAUUCUUUUUUGUAUUAUCACGUCAUAUUUACUAGCGUCCCGCACCAUCAGCAGAUUGAGUUUGUGUCCCAGAGCUGCGUAACAGAUAUCAGACUGAUUAAACCUGCAGAACUGAUCCAGACCUGAAGAACAACACACACACACACACACACACACACACAAACACACACACACACUGAUCAAUGUGUAUAAAUAUCUCUCGCAUUAUGAAAUAAAAUCAGACACAAAAGACA
ensembl:lncRNA